UACAAUCAGUCUUCAUCAAUCAGAGCUGCAGUAACUGAUCCAUCGAAAUAUUAAGUCAAUAAACAAAGUAAAAUAGGCACUUUAUGACAUUUACCACCCCAGGAACAACAUUAUUAAAACAUCCAACAUUACAUCUUGUGAAUCUGGAGCUUUUUGAACGACUGCAGGUUUUAACAGUUUCAGCGACAGUGGGGCGUCCUGACCAAGAUUCAAAUAUAUGAACGCACAGCAGUCACCGACUCGUGGUCACGGACGAUACAAUAUCCAAAUUCUACCGAUGAAGACACGGCGGUGAGGAUGCACAGAGUGGAGGUCAUGACAGAGAUUAAAAAGUGAGAUUUUUGAUGGUGCAGUUUUCAUCUUUGUCCUUCUUGGAGUCACAGGUUCCACUGCUGUCCAGUAUGAGUACAUCCUUUUCAGCUACGAGCUGUCCUGGCGUGAGGCCCAGGGAUACUGCAGAGAACACUACAGUGACCUGGCCACCAUAAGAGACAUUCAGGACAACAACAUGAUCAGUGAGAUAGCUGAAAACGAUGCCUUCUGGAUCAGCCUGUACGAUGAAAUCAUCGGCUGGACGUGGU